ACUCGACGGCUGCGCGAGCCGUGGAAAGCCGGCUAAAAGGUCGACGGACUGCAUACGAAAGCAGAUUGGCGUUCCGCAUAAGCCGAAUCCCCGGCUUUGAAUCCAUUCGGUUCGUGACGCACCUCCUCGAUCAACAAGUGCUUCAAACGAUUGGCGGCUGAAAAGGCUUGACAGCAGAAAAUACAGGGUUCUCCGCUUUUCCAUCGCAGACCGAUAUCUUCGGAUUCUGUCAGGUAAGAGUAAAGGUCGUGUGGGUAAGAGAGAACUUCUGACUCAGUUUUUCGGGAAACUUCAAUUUCGUAUUCUCCCUAUGAUAAGGGCAUAUUCGCCACUAUCAUUCUCUCCGCUUGUGGUGUAUCAAUGAACUAUGUACGUUCUACUUCCCUGAUGGAAGGCUUUCUUCUGUUUCUCAAUCAGGCGUUCGAGUCGAAGGAGUGAAAACUUCGAUAGUGCUGCAUAUGACUGCGUCCAUACAGACCGUAUCUCCCGCUAGGCGGACGAUCGGAUUGGAAUGUGGAUUGUCCUGGAAAUGGUUAUCCCGGUAGGAAUGUUUGGUUCGAGCAAUUUCCUCCGUAGGAUGCCCGUAUUAUCGAUUGGCGUGCGCGUUCCCGUUUAACUCUCAUGAGUUUUUAGCCUAUGCCAGGUUUGAGUUCCCACUCAGUGGUUCGAGAAAUUCCGCGUUGCCAUCCAGGAAAGUUCAUUUACUCCGGGGACCCGUCUUUGGGAGGGAUUUUUUGAUCGGUCAUGCCCGCGAACUCUCGGAGGGAAUAAUCAUUAGCCCUCUAUGGCUCAACGGGAAUGGUCUCUAUCAUGGGAAGAUUAAUUAGCUAUCUAUGGCUCAACGGGAAUGGCCUCUAUCAUGGGAAGAAAACUAGCCCCGGAAGAACGAAUCAAAUGCAUCCGCUCCGAGCUGGAUCUUCCGGUCAGAGCCAAGGAUAGAACGGAGGUCGCUCAAGAGCCCUUAUCCCUUCCGUCAUUGGCCACUGUGUCCUUCACUGCACUAUUCGUGAACAUCGGCAUGGUCGCUAUGCCAGCGGAUUUCCAUCCGGGACUAUGCAUCGGGAGAACUAUCUGGGGGUUGCGGUCGAACGGUUUCCUUCCUACCCUGUUUUCCCUAUAGAAGCCCGUUGUGAGAUCGCUAUUGCAAAACGAGGCUGUUGACGUUCCCAGCCUCGGAUAGGUAGCUCUAAAUGCUCCCGCGACUGAAAUCUAUUCUGAUAGCUAAGCUAUUCUACGACUCCCACAGAAAUGAAGGAUCGAGCUGGGGGCGAGGCCCAUAGAUCCAAGGUGAGUCUCCCAAUCUUUUCGAGUGUGCAAUCACCCGGCGGUUCCUCGCAUGCAAAACUGAACUCCUUUCAUUGCAGAUACGAGCGAUUCCCUUCCCCCCAGGAGUGGGAGAGAAAAGCCGAGCGACCCAACAGUGAGUUGGAAGCCAAGAAUCUUUGUAUCGAACGCGCUCUAGAUACUUCAAAUACUUGGGGGAAGUAACGAAUGUCUUCAUCCAAACAGCAGGACUGUCGGUCCCGACCGAACAGCCGAACCCGAAGCAAGGAUCGAACAGUAGCUCGCCGUCCACGACUCCGGUCGAACCCACAAGAUCUCAGCUCUGGUAGACCACGGCCACGAUGGUCUGCCCCCAGGCUCAACCUAGGAUGAAUCAUAUCCAUUGUAUAUUUCUACUAAAAUUCAAUACAGCCCCUCUAUUUUAA